GACGAACCGUGCAAACGUUGUUCGGAUUCACUGGGCUUAAAGGGCGCGUAGGCGGGCGGUCAAGUCAGGGGUGAAAGCCUCCAGCUCAACUGGAGAAGUGCCUCUGAUACUGAUCGUCUUGAGGGAGGUAGGGGCAUGUGGAAGCUUCCGGUGGAGCGGUGAAAUGCGUAGAUAUCGGAAGGAACGCCGGUGGCGAAAGCGAGUCGCUGGACCUCUUCUGACGCUGAGGCGCGAAAGCCAGGGGAGCAAACGGG
rnacentral:rRNA from 1 species